rnacentral:rRNA from 1 species
GAACGCUGGCGGCGUGCUUAACACAUGCAAGUCGAACGAAGACAUCUGAGUGCUUGCACUUGGAUGGACUGAGUGGCGGACGGGUGAGUAACGCGUGGGUAACCUGCCUUAUACAGGGGGAUAACAGUUGGAAACGGCUGAUAAUACCGCAUAAGCGCACAGUACCGCAUGGUACAGUGUGAAAAACUCCGGUGGUGUGAGAUGGACCCGCGUCUGAUUAGCUUGUUGGCAGGGUAACGGCCUACCAAGGCAACGAUCAGUAGCCGACCUGAGAGGGUGACCGGCCACAUUGGGACUGAGACACGGCCCAGACUCCUACGGGAGGCAGCAGUGGGGAAUAUUGCACAAUGGAGGAAACUCUGAUGCAGCGACGCCGCGUGAGUGAAGAAGUAAUUCGUUAUGUAAAGCUCUAUCAGCAGGGAAGAUAGUGACGGUACCUGACUAAGAAGCUCCGGCUAAAUACGUG